rnacentral:rRNA from 1 species
UAGGGAAUCUUCCACAAUGGACGCAAGUCUGAUGGAGCAACGCCGCGUGAGUGAAGAAGGCUUUCGGGUCGUAAAACUCUGUUAUUGAAGAAGAACGUGUGUGACAGUAACUGGUCAUGCAGUGACGGUAUUCAAUCAGAAAGUCACGGCUAACUACGUGGCCAGCAGCCGCGGUAAUACGUAGGUGGCAAGCGUUGUCCGGAUUUAUUGGGCGUAAAGCGAGUGCAGGCGGUCUUUUAAGUCUGAUGUGAAAGCCUUCGGCUUAACCGAAGAAGGGCAUCGGAAACUGG